UACGGGGGGGGCAAGCGUUGUUCGGAAUUACUGGGCGUAAAGGGCGCGUAGGCGGUUUCGGAAGUCAUGGGUGAAAGUCCUCGGCUCAACCGAGGGAUUGCCUGUGAAACCACGGAACUGGAGUGCUGGAGAGGGAAGCGGAAUUCCCAGUGUAGCGGUGAAAUGCGUAGAUAUUGGGAGGAACACCUGUGGCGAAGGCGGCUUCCUGGACAGACACUGACGCUGAGGCGCGAAAGCCAGGGGAGCGAACGGG
rnacentral:rRNA from 1 species